GGAAGCGUGCCCGAACCUUAAGGGUUACUUUGAUAGAGUAAACGACAGAGGUUAAAAUCCUCUCACUUCCUUA
rnacentral:tRNA from 1 species